UGGGGAAUAUUGGACAAUGGGCGCAAGCCUGAUCCAGCCAUGCCGCGUGAGUGAUGAAGGCCUUAGGGUUGUAAAGCUCUUUUGUCCGGGACGAUAAUGACGGUACCGGAAGAAUAAGCCCCGGCUAACUUCGUGCCAGCAGCCGCGGUAAUACGAAGGGGGCUAGCGUUGCUCGGAAUCACUGGGCGUAAAGGGCGCGUAGGCGGCUAUUUAAGUCGGGGGUGAAAGCCUGUGGCUCAACCACAGAAUUGCCUUCGAUACUGGAUGGCUUGAGUAUGGUAGAGGUUGGUGGAACUGCGAGUGUAGAGGUGAAAUUCGUAGAUAUUCGCAAGAACACCGGUGGCGAAGGCGGCCAACUGGACCAUUACUGACGCUGAGGCGCGAAAGCGUGGGGAGCAAACAGG
rnacentral:rRNA from 1 species